CAGCAGCCGCGGUAAUACGAAGGGGGCUAGAGUUGCUCGGAAUUACUGGGCGUAAAGGGCGCGUAGGCGGCGCUCCAAGUUAGGCGUGAAAUUCCCGGGCUCAACCUGGGGACUGCGCUUAAGACUGGAGUGCUUGAGGAUGGAAGAGGGUUGUGGAAUUCCCAGUGUAGAGGUGAAAUUCGUAGAUAUUGGGAAGAACACCGGUGGCGAAGGCGGCAACCUAGUCCAUUACUGACGCUGAGGCGCGAUAGCGUGGGGAGCAAACAUGAUUAGAGACCCCUGUAGUCCCUGUCUCUUAUAA
rnacentral:rRNA from 1 species